GAUGAACGCUGGCGGCGUGCCUAAUACAUGCAAGUCGAGCGAACAGACGAGGAGCUUGCUCCUCUGACGUUAGCGGCGGACGGGUGAGUAACACGUGGAUAACCUACCUAUAAGACUGGGAUAACUUCGGGAAACCGGAGCUAAUACCGGAUAAUAUAUUGAACCGCAUGGUUCAAUAGUGAAAGACGGUUUUGCUGUCACUUAUAGAUGGAUCCGCGCCGCAUUAGCUAGUUGGUAAGGUAACGGCUUACCAAGGCGACGAUGCGUAGCCGACCUGAGAGGGUGAUCGGCCACACUGGAACUGAGACACGGUCCAGACUCCUACGGGAGGCAGCAGUAGGGAAUCUUCCGCAAAGGGCGAAAGCCUGACGGAGCAACGCCGCGUGAGUGAUGAAGGUCUUCGGAUCGUAAAACUCUGUUAUUAGGGAAGAACAAAUGUGUAAGUAACUAUGCACGUCUUGACGGUACCUGAUCAGAAAGCCACGGCUAACUACGUG
rnacentral:rRNA from 1 species